AGAAGACCUUGUCUCCUGAAACUAAGGCAGUUGCACCAAAGUGGAUUGAAGUAAAGAGUCACGUUCAAACCGGCUGUUAUGAAUGUGGAUAUUACAUAAUGCAUUGGAUCUGGAACAUCAUAGCCAGCGACAUAAAGAGUGAUUGGUCCAUGUGGUUUGCUAAUGACACACCGUUGGACAUCGGCAUCAUCACCACAAUUCGAAAGAAAUGGGCAACAUUUUUUUUAAAGACAGCAAUAAGUCAAAACGGCUAAUGAUGGCGUUGGAGUAUUUUUUUCCCUGUAUUUGAGACAAUUGUUAUGUUAUUUGACACAGCGGUUAUUUUAUUUUCGGUCAU